rnacentral:rRNA from 1 species
GAACGGUAAGUGGUGUAGCAAUAUACCACCAAGAGUGGCGUAAGGGUGCGUAACACGUAUGCAAUCUGCCCGCAACAGGAGAAUAGCUCCCCGAAAGGGGAAUUAAUACUCCAUAAGACCACACGAGGGCAUCUGAGAGUGGUUAAACUACAAGGGGUUGCGGAUGAGCAUGCGGUUGAUUAGCUAGUUGGCGGGGUAAAGGCCCACCAAGGCGAUGAUCAAUAGGGGAACUGAGAGGUUUAUCCCCCACACUGGCACUGAGAUACGGGCCAGACUCCUACGGGAGGCAGCAGUAGGGAAUAUUGGACAAUGGGCGAGAGCCUGAUCCAGCCAUGCCGCGUGAGUGACGAAGGCCUUAGGGUUGUAAAGCUCUUUUGGCGGGGAAGAUAAUGACGGUACCCGCAGAAUAAGCUCCGGCUAACUUCGUG